rnacentral:rRNA from 1 species
AUUGAACGCUGGCGGCAGGCCUAACACAUGCAAGUCGAGCGGAUGAAGGGAGCUUGCUCCCGGAUUCAGCGGCGGACGGGUGAGUAAUGCCUAGGAAUCUGCCUGGUAGUGGGGGAUAACGUCCGGAAACGGGCGCUAAUACCGCAUACGUCCUGAGGGAGAAAGUGGGGGAUCUUCGGACCUCACGCUAUCAGAUGAGCCUAGGUCGGAUUAGCUAGUUGGUGGGGUAAAGGCCUACCAAGGCGACGAUCCGUAACUGGUCUGAGAGGAUGAUCAGUCGCACUGGAACUGAGACACGGUCCAGACUCCUACGGGAGGCAGCAGUGGGGAAUAUUGGACAAUGGGCGAAAGCCUGAUCCAGCCAUGCCGCGUGUGUGAAGAAGGUCUUCGGAUUGUAAAGCACUUUAAGUUGGGAGGAAGGGCAGUAAGUUAAUACCUUGCUGUUUUGACGUUACCAACAGAAUAAGCACCGGCUAACUUCGUG